UCAGGAUGAACGCUGGCGGCGUGCUUAACACAUGCAAGUCGAACGAUGAUGGGNGCUUGCUCCUGGAUUAGUGGCGAACGGGUGAGUAACACGUGAGUAACCUGCCCUUGACUCUGGGAUAAGCCUGGGAAACUGGGUCUAAUACCGGAUAUGACCUUCCAUCGCAUGGUGGUUGGUGGAAAGCUUUUGUGGUUUUGGAUGGACUCGCGGCCUAUCAGCUUGUUGGUGGGGUAAUGGCCNACCAAGGCGACGACGGGUAGCCGGCCUGAGAGGGUGACCGGCCACACUGGGACUGAGACACGGCCCAGACUCCUACGGGAGGCAGCAGUGGGGAAUAUUGCACAAUGGGCGCAAGCCUGAUGCAGCGACGCCGCGUGAGGGAUGACGGCCUUCGGGUUGUAAACCUCUUUCAGUAGGGAAGAAGCGUAAGUGACGUACCUGC
rnacentral:rRNA from 1 species